rnacentral:rRNA from 1 species
GUCUGUGGCCAUGAUAUCCUGAACAAGCCCGAUCCUGUCUGAUCUCAGAAGCUAAGCAGGGUCGGGCCUAGUUAGUACUUGGAUGGGAGACCACCUAGGAAGACCAGGUGCUGUAGGCG